rnacentral:tmRNA from 1 species
GGGGAUGUAUUGUCUCGACAGGUUAGCACUUUAAAAACCGCAAGCCGAAUAGGAAACAUUAUUCGUUAAAUAUUGUUUCAAAACACAAACGGCAAUGAUAUUGCUCGUUACCUGAAGCGGUUUGCUUCUGGGUUUAAGGAAGUCGGCUCACUCGUGAGUGGACAACCAAAAUACCUAGUAGCUUAAGCUAAAGGUUGCUUUAGAAAUUGUUCUCUUUCUGACGGAACACUAAAGUACGUACAAAGUCAGGAUGCUAUUUCAAUAGUGUUGGUUGAUCUGUUGAAAUUUAAGAUGCCUCAAUCACUUGUUAGUUUUCCUUUCAGUUGGUUACAACUAAUAAGUAAAAAUUAACUGAAUAAGCUUGUAGACGUUUUUGAACUAAUAACUUGGACUCGACUUCACCGUCGACAUCUCCACCA